rnacentral:rRNA from 1 species
UACGUAGGGUGCAAGCGUUAAUCGGAAUUACUGGGCGUAAAGCGUGCGCAGGCGGCUUUGCAAGACAGAUGUGAAAUCCCCGGGCUUAACCUGGGAACUGCAUUUGUGACUGCAUGGCUGGAGUGCGGCAGAGGGGGAUGGAAUUCCGCGUGUAGCAGUGAAAUGCGUAGAUAUGCGGAGGAACACCGAUGGCGAAGGCGGCCCCCUGGACCGGUACUGACGCUGAGGCGCGAAAGCGUGGGUAGCAAACGGG